rnacentral:lncRNA from 1 species
GAGUCAGACCCAUUUAAGGAAAUGUGGAAGGAGAAAUGCUCCAGGCUCCUCCCCGUUUCCCAAAAAGAACAAAAUGAAUGGAGACAAGCCGUGAACUUGGCUUUAUCACUCUCUUGCAUGGUCUGGCUUUAGGGGAAGAAAGAAGACCAGGGAGGAAAUCUGCAGUUACCAGAGAUGUCUCCAAGAGCACCAGCAACCCCAGCUAUCUGGAUCUGAAGUGGAUAUGCUCAGAGACAUCCUGGCCCACCCCAAAGAAGAUGCUGCUGCACUCAGAAGACGCCAGAGCUAGCCACCACCCACACUGCAAGUCUGGAAGCUCUGCAAGGACCCAGCAAGGCAGCCUGCUCAGCGAAGGCUUUGUCUCCUGUGGCAGGAAGAGCAACAUUAAGAACAAGAACCCCGGGCUGGACUACCCCUGAGAUUUAAUGACCAGAGCUGAGACCCCCAAGACCACAAUGACUAUGGAGGGCUGUCAUUACCCUGCCUGACCCUCUAAUGCCUCUCAGUUCAAGGAGGCCACUGAGUGAAACUGAAGGCUGGUUUUCCUUGGAAGCCAGCGGCCCAUCCACCUGCUCCACUUCCCUGCCUCUUGCAGCCUCCGCUCAAACACUGUCGUGGCUUGGCAGCACUACAAGGCAGAGUGAAAACAGAUACUUCUACCCACAUUCCUAUCUCCUCUCAUUUACGCAGAUUAAAUGCUUUCUUUCCUUGUUUUACACUGC